AUGCACGGACUAGCGACGCGAUCAGGAAUUGUGCUGCUUCCUUCCUCUGCAGGCAGCGAGCGCUCUUCGGGUCCAAUUUCAGGACGGGGGAGACCCCGCUUCCCCUCUUCCUCCCCCGUCGGAUGUCGGAUGUCGACACAAUGUUUCCAUUCACUGAGACUCCCGCUGCGAGGGCUGUUUUGUUCGAGGGCGGCCGAGGGAAGGGGGCGGCUGCCAAGAGGAUGCCCGGGCGCCCGGGGCGCGGGCUCGGCCCGGCGGGGGACAGACCCGCUCUGUGCCGCUCUGCAGGGGGACGAGGCGGGGCCGUCGCGCACCCUGGGCCGGACCAACCGCGGACACGCACCGACUCUCAACCCCGCUGCGUCCCACCCCGCGCGGCGGCCGCGGCCGGGGUCCCUGGGUCUGCAGCCGGGGUCUCCGGGACUGCAGCCGGGGUCCGCAGGGUCUUCAGGGUCUGCAGCCGGGGGUCUGCAGGGUCCCUGGGUCUGCAGCCGGGGGUCCGCAGGGUCUCCGGGUCCGCAGCCGGGGUCCCCGCCGGGCCGCACCGCCGCUCCCGCAGGGUCCGCUUCCAACUUCCCUCCGCCCCGGGCCCCGCGCCGCGGACGCCGCCUCCUGGAAGCCGGCCCAGCCCGCUGCAGGCCGUCGCCCAAGUGCAGAACUUUUGUGCCAGGCUCCCCGUCCUGCGGGGUCACCCUCCCCGCCCCGCGCCCCCCCCCCGGCGGCCGGCGCCCCCUCCCCGUAAGGACCGCGCCCGGCGGCAGGUGCCCCCCUCCAGCCCCCUCCCGCCCCCCGGCCCCGGGCUCGGCGCGCUGGGGGCCCCGCGGGGACCGUCCGGGCAGCCGUCGGCUGGGCUGGGGGGGGGGGGGCGCGCAGGCGGCCGGGUCGGGUCGGGUCGGGUCGGGCCCCGCUCGGGACUCACCUGGCGCCGAGCACCAGCGCCGGCAGCAGCGGCAGCAGGUAGUGCGCCGGGCUGAGCCUCAUGCCGCCGCCGGGGGCUCCCGCCCGCGCCGCCCGCCCGCGCCUCGCUCCUCCUCCGGGUCCCGUCGCUCCGCGCUGCCGGCUCCGAGCCCGGCCGGACGAGCCCUGGCGGCGGCGGACGCGGGCAAACGGCCCAACCGACGCGCCUCGCGGAGGCAGCACCGGGCGGGGAGGCGGGCGGUGAUGUCACCGCACCCGGGGCCCGCCCGGGACGCCCGCCGCCGCGCAGGCCGCCGCCGCCGCCCCACGGCCCGGACCGCGCCCCGCACCCCCGCACCCCGCCCCCGGCUGCCCCCCGCGGGGAGGAGAGGAGGGGGGAGGGGAGGGGAGGGAGGGAGGGAGACGGGAGGAGGGGAGGAGAACGCACCCGGGGAGGAGAGGGGCGGGGGGACGAGAGGACGACCCACGGACACGGGUGGGGGAGAUCCCAUGGACGCAAGUGGGGAGGAGCCCACGGACACGGGCGGGGAGGAGCCCACGGGCGGGAGGGAUCCACGGACACGGGGGGAAGGAGCCCACGGACACGGGCGGGAGGGAUCCACGGACACGAGGGAAAGGUGCCCACGGACACUGGUGUGGGAAGAGCCUACAGACACGGGCGGGGAGGAGCCCACGGACACGGGCGGGGGACCCCACGGAGUCGGACCUCCCCGCAGGGAUCGGCGCGCGGGCGGGAUGCGAGGCGGGUCCCCGCGCAGGGCGGCAGGUGCCCCAGGAGCGCCGCCCGCCGCCCGCCGCCCGCCGCCCGGGACAGGGGAGCUCCGGGACGGGGGGGGGAUGUGCUCCGGGACGGGUUGGGGGGAGGGGCUCCGGGACCGGGGGCUGCUUAGAGGCGCAUCAGCAUUAGCGGGACGCGGCGGCGAGGGCGGCGGAGGCGAGCGAGCGGCCCGGCCCCGGCUGCAGUGCGCGCCCCUGGUCUUGGCCGCGGGGCGGGGACGAGCGGUACAGAGGGGCGGGGCCGCAGCCGGGGCUGGAGACCCCCCCCCCCAGGGCCCUGAGGGGUCCAGCGAGCAGGACGCGGCACCGCCAGAGGCGCGGUCUCCGGGGGCGGCAGGCACCGUCCUUUCGUUUUUCUCCAUCUUCCAGGUGUCCUACAGCAAACAUCCGACGUUUAAGCUCUAUCUUGAAAUAUCAGGGAAACAAAGACUAAUACAAAGUAAUAUGUUUUUGUAA
rnacentral:lncRNA from 1 species